ensembl:snoRNA SNORD15 Small nucleolar RNA SNORD15
CUUCAGCGAAGAUAUGAUGACGAGUCUGAAAAGAGAUCUGUCCAAAUGCCCUGUGCCAUGUUAUGUUCUAUAUCAUGGAUUUCAGGACCUUGAAUCGGAGUCCUUGACUGAUGACUUCAGAGGCAUUUGUCUGAGAAGG